rnacentral:rRNA from 1 species
UACGAAGGGGGCUAGCGUUGGUCGGAAUUACUGGGCGUAAAGCGCGCGCAGGCGGUUCUUCAAGUCAGGGGUGAAAGCCCGGAGCUCAACUCCGGAACUGCCAUUGAAACUGUAGAACUUGAGGAUGAGAGAGGUGAGUGGAAUUCCCAGUGUAGAGGUGAAAUUCGUAGAUAUUGGGAAGAACACCGGUGGCGAAGGCGGCUCACUGGCUCAUUUCUGACGCUCAGGCGCGACAGCGUGGGGAUCAAACAGG